GCUUACGGCCAUACCACUCUGACAAAGCCUGAUCUCAUCUGACCCUCGGAAGCAAAGCAGAGUUGGGCCUGGUUAGUACUUGUUGGGAGACUGAAUGGAUAUACUAGGUGCUGUAAGCG
ensembl:rRNA 5S_rRNA 5S ribosomal RNA